rnacentral:snRNA from 1 species
ACUGAUAUACUCGAUUGCAGGGU